GAUGAACGCUGGCGGCGUGCCUAAGACAUGCAAGUCGAAUGUCCCGCAAGGGACAUGGCGAACGGGUGAGUAAUACCUAGGAACAUCCUUGUAGUGAGGGAUAACCAGCCGAAAGGUUGGAUAAUACCACAUGUGGUCGUAAGACCAAAGCAGCAAUGCGCUACAAGCGUGGCCUGGGCACCAUCAGCUAGUUGGUAAGGUAAUGGCUUACCAAGGCUAUGACGGUUA
rnacentral:rRNA from 1 species